rnacentral:piRNA from 1 species
UUUCGCACUUGUUCUCUGUCA